rnacentral:rRNA from 1 species
AGAGUUUGAUCAUGGCUCAGAGCGAACGCUGGCGGCGUGCCUAACACAUGCAAGUCGAACGUGAACAGGGGCAACCCUUAGUAAAGUGGCGUACGGGUGAGUAACACGUAGGUAAUCUACCAAAGAGUCCGGAAUAACCUGCCGAAAGGCGGGCUAAUACUGGAUAGAGCGACGGAAUCCGUAAUUGGGUUUUUCGGGAAAGGGAGGAAGCAAUUCCCUUCGCUCUUUGAUGAGCCUGCGUCUGAUUAGCUAGUUGGUGAGGUAAUGGCUCACCAAGGCGAUGAUCGGUAGCUGGUCUGAGAGGAUGAUCAGCCACACUGGAACUGAAACACGGUCCAGACUCCUACGGGAGGCAGCAGUGGGGAAUCUUGCGCAAUGGACGAAAGUCUGACGCAGCCACGCCGCGUGAGUGAAGAAGGCCUUCGGGUUGUAAAGCUCUGUCGGGCGGGACGAAAACGUUUGAGGUGAAUAGCCUCAGAUCUUGACGGUACCGCCAAAGGAAGCACCGGCUAACUUCGUGCCAGCAGCCGCGGUAAUACGAGGGGUGCAAGCGUUGCUCGGAAUUAUUGGGCGUAAAGGGUAGGUAGGUGGUCUCGUUUGUCUGGGGUGAAAGCCUUGAGCUUAACUCAAGAAGUGCCCUAGAAACGGCGAGACUGGAGUCUUGGAGAGGGUCGCGGAAUUCCCGGUGUAGCGGUGAAAUGCGUAGAGAUCGGGAGGAACACCAGAGGCGAAGGCGGCGACCUGGACAAGUACUGACACUCAACUACGAAAGCGUGGGGAGCAAACAGGAUUAGAUACCCUGGUAGUCCACGCCGUAAACGAUGGGUACUAGAUUUGGUGGGUCUUGACCCCCGCCGAAUCGGAGCUAACGCACUAAGUACCCCGCCUGGGAAGUACGGUCGCAAGACUAAAACUCAAAGGAAUUGACGGGGGCGCC